rnacentral:tRNA from 1 species
GGUUGUAUAGUGUAGUUGGUUAUCACAUCGGAUUCUGAUCAUGCGAGUCAUUCGCUAAUCAUUCCGGGGACCUGAGUUCGAAUCUCGGUACGACCU